GUGAAGGAAAACAAGAGCAGACACUGAGAACAUCGGAGACAGACUUUAGAGAGGUGUUAAGUGGCCAGAGAUAACAUUUAUACAUUCAUGCAACAGGCUAAUCAGCCGGGUUAAUCUGGACCAGAGAAGCAGUCAGGGCCUCCUGCUGGGAAAGCAGAGAACCGGGGCUUUCCCGCGGUUUCCUCUUCAUGGAGGGGGAGGGGGUGAGAAUGCUGCAGCCCACGGCUCCUGAGAUUAGAGAUCUUUGUGACUUCAGAGUAAAGGGCGACAGAAAGCAAACGUGACUUCUGGGGGCGCGUGCGGGGAAGGUGGGGGGGUGCUCUGGGAUAAAACAGGAAAGGCCGAGUCCUCCACGCCCUGAUGCAUUUGAGCAGCUGUCUCCUUCCUUGCGGUCCCCCCCAGUCCAGACUGCGGUGCUUUGUCGCCACCUGGUGGUUGGAGCGUACACUGCAUAGGGCGGCCGGACCCCGACGCCUCGGGUAGGAUCCAGGGCGCCGCUCUCUGCGCAGAGGCUAAUGAACCCGCAGGACGUUUGGGUGGGACCACUCACUCACUUUAGAAAAAAACAUUCCUAUUCUAUGGCAGAAGAAAUGCUGAUGGCCCACAUGAUACUGUGGGCCCCAACGGUGACUCUACAUACAAAGCUGUCCCUGAAUGCUGAAGCGGAGGCUAAGGGCUGUGCAGAGCAGGUAAUGGGGGGGCGGGGGGGGGGUGCUGUCUGUCAGAGCUCCCUGGGAAGGCAUGUCGCUUCUCCUCUGUGGUACUUAGGUCUUUACCUGUCCAACAGGCUACCACCUGUACCGUAGUUAUCACACUCAAGGAUGUGUGGGGUUAACAGAUAACAUAGUGCCUGAAGGGACCUGGCACUGAAAAAGUCCCUGAAAAACAGUGAGUUUUGUUGUAUUGUAAAGCAAUGUAAUGUAUUUUCCCAUACUUUGAGUAUGCAAAUGGAAUUACUAUCAUCUUUCUUCUCUUUAAAAUAGGCCAGUCCAGCUUGGUGUGAUGGCACAUACCUGUGACACAGCCCUUGGGAGGCUGAGGCGGGAGGACUAAGGGGCCAAUCGAGCCAAAUAGUAAGAACCCUACCUCAAAAACAACACACACACAUUCUCGCUCUUACACACACACUGUUAUACACACUCUUACACAUGCACACGCACUCUUGCACACACUCACACCACUUGCCUCUGCAGCAUGGAGGAGGAAAUUUGGCUUUGACUUGCAAUUCACUGAAGAAAGGGAAACUUGACUUGGGGUUCCUGUUAGAACAUCUAGUUGUCACCUGUUGAAGCUGUUGCUGGUCCCCUAAAUGCCCUUCAGCCAGAGACCACAGGACACUGAAGAAUACUAUUCCAGAAGAUGGGAAAUAUGUGAAACCCCACAGGAAUGAGACAGGGCCAAACCACAGGUCCAGCAAGCACCCUUUGAGCCCCUGCUGUGGGCUCAAAGCCAGAGGGUUCCUAAAAUACAGCAAUUUCAUUUGAGAAAAAAAAAAACACACUUGCUGUGAAUACUGACUAAUUUUUUUCUGAUCUUACUAGGUACCCACUGUUCUAAAAGACAACAAACAAGAUGGUGAGAUUCUUGCCUUCAAGCGACUUGUCUUUCAAUGAUUUUUCUACACACCGUAUGUCCCCUACUUUAUUUUAUCAUUUUUCUCCAUUUUAAAGGCACAAUUUAUAUACAGUCACCAUUCUAGUUUAUAGUCUCAUGAGUGUUGACAAAUGCAGCUGUGUAGCCACCAUCAUAACGUCCAUCGCCUGUACAGUCUUCCUCUGCUUUGGAAUUCAUCUAACCACUGACUGC
rnacentral:lncRNA from 1 species